rnacentral:rRNA from 1 species
AGUGAACGCUGGCGGUAGGCCUAACACAUGCAAGUCGAACGGCAGCACAGUAAGAGCUUGCUCUUACGGGUUGCGAGUGGCGGACGGGUGAGGAAUACAUCGGAAUCUACUUUUUCGUGGGGGAUAACGUAGGGAAACUUACGCUAAUACCGCAUACGACCUACGGGUGAAAGCAGGGGAUCUUCGGACCUUGCGCGAUUGAAUGAGCCGAUGUCGGAUUAGCUAGUUGGCGGGGUAAAGGCCCACCAAGGCGACGAUCCGUAGCUGGUCUGAGGGGAUGAUCAGCCACACUGGAACUGAGACACGGUCCAGACUCCUACGGGAGGCAGCAGUGGGGAAUAUUGGACAAUGGGCGCAAGCCUGAUCCAGCCAUACCGCGUGGGUGAAGAAGGCCUUCGGGUUGUAAAGCCCUUUUGUUGGGAAAGAAAAGCAGCAGGUUAAUACCCCGCUGUUCUGACGGUACCCAAAGAAUAAGCACCGGCUAACUUCGUG